ensembl:snRNA U6 U6 spliceosomal RNA
UAUUUCAAAAGAAAGCAGCAGAUAUACUAAAAAUAUUAGAGAGGAGGUUAGCAUAGCCCUGUGCAAGGAUGACAUGCAGAUUUGUGAAUCAUUCCAUAAUUUU